GACGAACGCUGGCGGCGUGCUUAACACAUGCAAGUCGAACGGAAAGGCCCUGCUUUUGUGGGGUGCUCGAGUGGCGAACGGGUGAGUAACACGUGAGUAACCUGCCCUUGACUUUGGGAUAACUUCAGGAAACUGGGGCUAAUACCGGAUAGGAGCUCCUGCUGCAUGGUGGGGGUUGGAAAGUUUCGGCGGUUGGGGAUGGACUCGCGGCUUAUCAGCUUGUUGGUGGGGUAGUGGCUUACCAAGGCUUUGACGGGUAGCCGGCCUGAGAGGGUGACCGGCCACAUUGGGAUUGCGAUACGGCCCAGACUCCUACGGGAGGCAGCAGUGGGGAAUAUUGCACAAUGGGCGGAAGCCUGAUGCAGCAACGCCGCGUGCGGGAUGACGGCCUUCGGGUUGUAAACCGCUUUCGCCUGUGACGAAGCGUGAGUGACGGUAAUGGGUAAAGAAGCACCGGCUAACUACGUG
rnacentral:rRNA from 1 species